rnacentral:ncRNA from 1 species
UAAAAAUUUUUUAUAGUUUAAAAAUUUUAUUAAAAAUUUAUUUUACAUAUAAAUUUUGGUAUUAAAUUAAUUUAUUUUAAAAAUAAUUUAAUUAAAAUAGUAGUAAUUAAUAUUAAAUAUUUAAGAAAUUAAGAUUUAGUAAUAUUUUAAUUAAUAACAAAUUUUGUGCCAGCAGUUGCGGUUAUACAAAAAUUAAAUUAAAUUUUGUUAGUAAUUAAUUAAUAAUUUAUUUUAUAAUAUAAAAAUUAAAUUAUUAGGUGAAAUUUUAAUUUGGUUAAAUUUUAUAAUAAAAUUAUGAUUUAAUAAAUUUUAUUAAAAACUAGGAUUAGAUACCCUAUUAUUAAAAUUUAAAUAAAAAAUACUAAAAUAGUAGAUAAUUAUUUAUUGAAACUUAAAUAAUUUGGCGGUAUUUUAGUUCAUUUAGAGGAAUCUGUUUAGUAAUUGAUAUUCCACGAAUAAAACUACUUAAAUUAUAAUUUUGUAUAUCGUUGUUAGAAAAAUAUUUUUUAAUAAAAUUAAUAUUUAAGAAUUAAAAUUAAAAUUUAAAUCAGAUCAAGAUGCAGAUUAUAUUUAAGAUUAUAAUGGAUUACAAUAAAUUUAUUUAAAUGAAUAUUAAUUUGUAAAAAUUAAUUGAAAGUGGAUUUAAAUGUAAUUUUAUUUAUUUUAAUAAAAUGAUUAAUAAUUAAAAUAUGUACAUAUUGCCCGUCGCUUUCAUAUAAAUAUAAGUUGAAAUAAGUCGUAACAAAGUAGAGGUACUGGAAAGUGUUUCUAGAAAGAA